CGGCUGAUGGACCAUGAUCCGCGAGUUCGGCAGCGAGAAGCGCAUGUCCUUGUGACCGGCUGCGAGCAGCAGCGAACCCAUCGACGCCGCCUGCCCCGUGCAGAGCGUGGAGACCGGCGGGGGGGGGGGGGNNNNNNNNNCGCCAGACCCGAUGUCACCACGCCGCCCGGCGAGUUUAUGUACAUCGAGAUUUCCUUCUUCGGAUUCUCGGCUUCCAGGAACAGGAGCUGCGCGACGACCAGCACC
rnacentral:misc_RNA from 1 species